UACCAGCACCCCGAGUGUUCGGGACGAUUAUUGGGCCUAAAGCAUCCGUAGCUUGUUCUGCAAGUCCUCCGUUAAAUCCACCUGCUCAACAGAUGGGCUGCGGGGGAUACUACAGGGCUAGGAGGCGGGAGAGGCAAACGGUACUCAGUGGGUAGGGGUAAAAUCCUCUGAUCCACUGAAGACCACCGGUGGCGAAGGCGGCUUCCUGGACCGACACUGACGCUGAGGCGCGAAAGCUAGGGGAGCAAACGGG
rnacentral:rRNA from 1 species